rnacentral:rRNA from 1 species
UACGGGGGGGGCAAGCGUUGUUCGGAAUUACUGGGCGUAAAGGGCUCGUAGGCGGCCAACUAAGUCAGACGUGAAAUCCCUCGGCUUAACUGGGGAACUGCGUCUGAUACUGGAUGGCUUGAGUUCGGGAGAGGGAUGCGGAAUUCCAGGUGUAGCGGUGAAAUGCGUAGAUAUCUGGAGGAACACCGGUGGCGAAGGCGGCAUCCUGGACCGAAACUGACGCUGAGGAGCGAAAGCCAGGGGAGCAAACGGG